rnacentral:rRNA from 1 species
UACGUAGGCAGCAAGCGUUGUUCGGAGUUACUGGGCGUAAAGGGUGCGUAGGCGGGUCUUUAAGUCAGGGGUGAAAUCCUGGAGUUCAACUCCAGAACUGCCUUUGAUACUGAGGAUCUUGAGUUCGGGAGAGGUGAGUGGAACUGCGAGUGUAGAGGUGAAAUUCGUAGAUAUUCGCAAGAACACCAGUGGCGAAGGCGGCUCACUGGCCCGAUACUGACGCUGAGGCACGAAAGCGUGGGGAGCAAACAGGGAUUA